rnacentral:lncRNA from 10 species
CCUUGACUAAUACUCCAGUCAGUAUUAGAUAUCUAUGUUUUUCCUCAGUGAUGAUUAAAACUCUCAGUCUGACGAGCCUAAGUAUAUUGUGUUUACUCAUCUUUAAAUAGUACCCAUCUGUCGUAAUGAACACAUUUAUCCAAUUUGGUCUUUAGGCGAUAGGUGAGAUGGAAAAGCUGGUCAAUCUGAAGCUUGAGCUUUUAGCAGUGGUUCUCAAAUUUGGCUGCACUUUGGAAUCAUGGUGGGAGCUCAAAAAAUACUGGUGCCCUAUUCUCCCCAGAGAUUCUGAUUUAAUUGUUCUGUGUUGUCAUCUUCUAAGUAAGAUUCGUCAAGGGCUUGCAGCAGGUGAUUUUAAUGUGCAACCAAUGUUGAGAUCCACCAAGGUUAAAGAACCCUCAGCCCUCAGUAAGAUUCUCAUCUACCUCUGAUUUUUCACAAUCAACCUCUCCCCCUGCACAGUGCCGUACUUUCUCAAAGACAGGAAGAAGAAUCCUUUUAAACGAAGUUUACGUUAUUAUUUCACAAAUACCGAGAUCUACAAAUUGAGGCAUUAAGCCAUCAUUUAAUUUCCUUCAAAAUGCAAAUCGCUGGUGAAGACAGCCAUCAAAUCAUGGACUAACUUUUGAAUUCAGGUAGUCAAAUGAGGAAACAUCCUACCUGAUGGAGAGAACUGCGUGUGACCCAGAGAUCCUGGAUUUUAUUCAUUUGUUGAGACUUUGAAUCAUCUAUGGGGAGGAGCUGAAUAUGUUCUACACGUGGAAAAAAAUGGUAUGCACAGAUACUUGAAAUGCCAGAAGAAUGGCCUGUAACAGGGCUUCAAUAUGCAUUUCCUCCUCCUUCCUUCUAGUAAGAGUCCUCAAGACUGCCCUGCCAGAAACUAUACUUUUCAGUUUCUCCUGUCAUGAUGUAGCCAUGUGAUCAAAUUCUAGUAGAUAGGAUGUGAGCAAAAGUGAUAUAUGCAUGACUCUUCAAUCACUCUUGUUGCCUUCUACUAAUUUUCCUGUCUUCUUUUGGCCUCAAAAGUUUUACGGUGGUAUUGAGCCCAUUUUAAUCAGACAGAUGAGGACAACAACCUAAGGAAUGGCAGAUAGCUGAAACCUCAGUUGCUGGACAACAUCAUGGACCAGGGUUACCCUAAGCACUGAUUUACCUAUUCGGUAGGAAUUUUUCCUCCGAGUAUUUUUUAAAUGUUUCCUUUGUUAUAUAUUAUUAAGUAAUUGAAUCAGUACCUUGAUACAGGUCAGGACUUUUCUCAAUCAUGCCAACAUGGGUCAAGCAUUAAAGCUUUGAGAAUGCAAAGGAGGCAAAACCUUCAUGUGGUGUCUUGAAUAACUGAUGGAGUACAAUUGGAAUGUUCAUAAUACAAAGAGAUGAUGAACACUUGAGGUGAUGAAUACCCCACUCACCCUUAUGUGAUUAUUAGACAUUAUAUGCUUGUAUCAAAAUUAUAUACCUGCUAUGUGCCCAUAAAAAUUAAAAAUAAAAGUAAAAAACUUUUUAAAAGUCUGCUUCACUGUAUUGCUCUCAUUCCCAUGUAUUUUUAGGAGAGUAUUAUUUUGUCCCCAGGAAACUGCUUAUUGCUAUAUAAGACUUCUAGU